CAGUAGCCGCGGUAAUACGAGGGGGGCAAGCGUUGUUCGGAUUUAUUGGGCGUAAAGGGUGCGUAGGCGGUUUGGCAAGUCUUGUGUGAAAUCUUCGGGCUCAACCCGAAGCCUGCACGAGAGACUACCGGGCUUGAGUAUUGGAGAGGUGAGUGGAAUUUCCGGUGUAGCGGCGAAAUGCGUAGAUAUCUGAAGGAACACCUGUGGCGAAAGCGGCUCACUGGACAAUAACUGACGCUGAUGCACGAAAGCUAGGGGAGCAAACAGGAUUAGAUACCCCCGUAGUCCCUGUCUCUUAUAC
rnacentral:rRNA from 1 species